rnacentral:lncRNA from 1 species
AUAAUUUCGAGUCUUCGGACAACUCUCUCGUGGACUCCACAUACAAUUCAUCUUCCGGAGAAUCUGACGAAGAAAUUGAAGAAGAGGAAAUGUACCGAAGAAGAACGAAUCAACUCAAGCGCAAUCUCAGAUUUGAGGCAGAACUCUAAUAAUCACUCUGGGCCGGUUGGCACGCUCAGUCGCUCGAAAGGACAUGCUGAAGAUGUUCUCUCACCUUCCGCUGAAUGGGUCCGGAAGCAAUUAGAAAGUGAUGUACAAGGGUUGUCAGUGUUAAGCUGGUUCAAGACCCGAAAUUCCCUUGUUAAUCGUAAAAGGGGAAUCAUUACCAAAGUAUUAAUUGAAUCUGAACUUAAACCUGAUCUGUCAAAAUGCAUCAGUCCUGAAAGGUUCAUAGCAAUGGCAGAAGCUAUUACAAAAGCGUUUCCUUGCGAAACUGAAGAAACCUAUUAUAUUCCUCGCCGCAGGAAUGCCUUAAAUAAAGUUUGCAAAGCUAAGGGUAAACUUUACAACAUGUAUUUAAAUAUGAGGAAAGACUUGAGAAGGAAUAACCUUAUAAUCGGACGAAGAGAUCUGGACCCGGUGAUGACUUCAUCUUCUGAAAGUGGUACGUAUCAUAUUCACAGUAUGAUAUCGCUCGGUCAUGUAAUCAUUAUUACCUCUAAGUUGAGUUUUAAAAAAUUUACCUAUUUCUUAAAGGCGAACCAACAAGAGUGGAAGCUAUAAGACAUGUGACUUUGAAGCUGCAAAAAAUUAUUUUACUAGUAUAAAAUUGAGAACUUUAAAACAAGGCUGCGGGCAAUCUUAAAUGUUCAGGUUUUUCUCCGGUCAAGGAAAAGAGAAUUUUGAAGGAAGACUUGUAUUUCUAUCUUCGAUCGUUUAUCCGUCAAAUUAUUUAUUUAUCAUCCAUUUAUUUAAUUUUUUUCAUAUUUGCUUUCCUCCGUUACUCAGCACUUCCUGCAUGGUACUUAUCUAUGGGAAUGAUUGUAAACAUUUGCUUAUCAGGUUGCGCGGCAAUUUGUAGUAUGGAAAAUUAAAGCUUUAAUUUUAUGCAAUUACCAUAGUUAUCUUGUUGGUAUCUAUUUAUCUCUAUGUCACACUUCCUCAAUAUUUAACUACUUACUCAAUGGUGAUUGAAAACAAAUCUGUUUUUGUCUUUGAAUUCUGUCAGAAUUAUUUUUCGCUUUUCUGAAGGCAACAUUGCACAUCAGGAGGUAAUCUCGAUUACUUGUAUGAAGCUUGAUUCUUUAAAAUUUUACUACGAAUUUUUGGUGGAGUUUGAUGAAUCUCGGUAACUUGUUCAAGUGAUUUAAUUUUGUAUGGUUUCAGAUGAUGAGGACGGUGAAGCAAAUCAAAUAAUAGUUUGGACUAAAAACCACUCGGAACCUUUCGACGAAGUUCUAGUUAAAUUUCGACAAUCAUCUGUCCAACGAAUCCAACAAUUCACGAGGUCAGGAAGUAAUGACAUUGGCCUAUUCUUAAAUCUUUACCCUGCGUACAAGAAAAACAAUGGGUAUAUUCUGGUAAGAAAAUAUUGGAUUGCAAAAUAUUCAUUUCUGUUAUGCAAAGAAAAAAAAGAGUUAAUUUUAUCAAUGUUUAUCAUCUUAGGGG